AUUUUGAGGAGUCAACCUUUUUUAUAUGAAGAGGGAAAACACCUUUGUUUAACAAAAAUUGCAUAUAUAGCUAGACCCGUAUUACAUGCCAGGCAGAAGUGGGUAGAUCAUGAAUUGUUGUCAUCUAUCUUGGAUAUGUUGGCCUUUCUUACGCAUUGACCUUAUUUUUAAAUAAUGAGCUUAUAUGGGACGACUGGUGAGGUUUCCAAACAACAUAUGGAGCAUAAUUCAUGAAUUUUUGGGCCCCCGAGUUGAUGUUACAAUCCAUUUGCUAGAUAUGCAUGUUCCUUUUUUUAAUAAUUAUUAUGCUCAUAUAUUAGAUUCUUAUCCGUCUACUUUCCUUUGGUGGAUUCUUCUAUGCUUGCACUAUUAACCAUCUUUAGAAAAAGCUCAUGCAUUCGUUACGCUCUUGGUGGACAAUUUCUGAUUAUGAUUGUGAUUGUGAAUUUGUAUUCAUGUUUAAUUGGUAUACUGUUGGUCUACCUACAAUUCUUUUGUUAAAUGUGGCCUCUGUUGAUAUUGUCUCAUUUGCACGCAGCUAGCCAUCGCCGGGAACGAACAACACUAAUUAAGCUAUUUAGAUCGUAAAUUGUAUCAUCCUUUAUUGCUAAUAUUGCCUUUUGGAUCUUCUUGCAGUUGCAGGUUUGCUAAUAGUUUGUGAGACUUCUUGCAUGAUAUUGCUUUCAUACAUAUAUAUGUUCUUUCAAACUGUACCUAUCUUCUGAUGCACAUGUGCUAUUUCCCCCCUCUAUUGACAUGCUAAAUGGUUUUCAGCAGCAUGGAAGUGGAUACAUGUAUGUGAUGAUUUCUGACCUGACUUAUGUUGGGAUGACUCUCGCAGCAGUUGGUAUCCGGUACGUCGGGUUCAUGGAUGUGGGAUGGAGUAGCUAUGACUAGGAGGAGCCCUGCGACGACCUCGAGGCCUACUGUCGCAACCACAAGAACUGUGUUAGAAAAGGAAGGUACUAACUAAAUUACAUACAUAUUCCUAGCUUUGGAAAAAGAGGAUUACUGGAUCGGUCAACUCAGGCCGCCCUGAACAAACCAUACGCUUUUGUACCCGCACAAGACUUAUUGUUAGCCUCGUGUAUAUACUAUGAUCAUGCCAUCCUCUGUAUGUAUGCCAGAUAAACAAAUUCCUAUAUGUAACUGAAUUUUUUUGCAAGCUUUAUUUGUCGGUAUGAUAUAUGUUUAAGACAUGCUAAAAUCAUAUCCAUUACAAUCUGAGUGUCCUAUAUAUAGUGUCGCGAUGGGGGGUGUAUUUGUGUCCACCAGAUCAUGAUUUGCUCCUGAUAGAGUGAUUCUUUCUGCUUACACUGAUUCUUAUGGGGUUUCAGGCUAUCCUUUUGCUCAUUGACAAUUGGCUUCUCUAUGCUAUUCUUUUUCUGGGGUUUGCGCAUGCUCUGUUGGUGGCGAUGAUGAGUAAGGCUCAUUAAGAGGACUACUGAGAUUAGAUACCAUGGCUUGUUUUUAUGGUAUAGGUUAGGGCUUUGUGUGACUAGGUGGAAGUGUGCAAAUCGGGAUGGCUUGCUUUUUGUGAGCAACCAUUUGAGUGGUGAAAUGUCACACGGGUGUAAGGGCAUCUCCAACGCGGAUCACCGUACAUAUCGUAUACAAAGUGGGUUGACCAUAUGAUAGAUGAGCCAACUCUUAGCCUUGCAUUCUUUUAGAUAGAUACAACCUCUCUUUCUAUGAUCUGUGGUCAUGUGCUUAUGUAUAUUUUUGAAUAUUAUUGGAUUGAUUCUUCUCAAUCUGUUAAUGAUUUAUAGCAGUACUGGGAUCUCAUUGUAAUAUAUGUUAUCAUCUAUGACAUUUGCGAGGCAGACUGGUCACCAGCAAUGCUGAUUUGGGUUUGAACUCUGUGUCCGACAGUUCCAGUUCCACUUUGAGUGAUGUACUAUCUUGGCUUAUCACGUGAAUGGCCUAUUUGUCAAUUCGGUAGAUGUAGUUUGCACUGAUAGUAGAAGCUAGAUGUUCAUGAUUUUUGUUUUUUCUUGGCUCGUGAUGCACUCAGGUGUACCACUAUAUAUCUAUCAUAGUAACAUAUGAUGCAGAAUCAAGUGGAGUCCUUAAAAUAGACAAAGAUUUUGGGCUAUCAGAUUUCCUUCUAUGCUGUUGUGAAGGAGGCAGAUUAUUGUGACGAUGGGGCUCAAUGGGGCACAAGCUGCAAAUUCUGGAGGUAUUUUUCUAUGGUUUGUUUGUUGUUUCAUUGUUAAACUGUGGGUUGUCUAUUUAUGAUUUUAUUGUGAUUCUUUAUUAUAUCAUGCUAACAUGGUAACCAAAUAACUUUGCCAAGAGGGCCAAAUGAUACAGAUGGUGGUAGUCAAAUUGGUGAUUUUGUAGUAGAACCGUGGAAGAAUCCUGUUGUAGAUAUCAAACAAUUCUUUUUUCUUAUUACAAAUGCAUUAAAAAAUUAUUUUCAAAUUAAGUGUUGUUUGUAAGCUAACAAUUUAUAACCAAUUAAAGCAUGAUUCCAGAAGAAUUGGUCAAUGUUGAAUGGAUACAUUCACUGGAAAUGAGGGGCUGUUAAUGUCUAAAAAGCAUGGACACGGCGGCACGCAUACGGAGACACGCGAUACGGCAUUUUCCAGAAAUAGCUCAUCGGGGACACGUCCAAUUUAUAUAUAAAUAAAUAAAUAAAUGCCAUGUAAUAUAGAGGUAAAGAGGAAAAAAUAAUAAGAGAUCACCCCAGCCAACAGUAACUCUCUUAACAUAAGCCCAGAGAGGAUAUUAGUAGUUGGGCCGGCCCAGCUAGUGCAUGCCACAAAUCAAUCUGCACCGUCAAAACUCAAGCCCUAUCUCUCUCUGCCCUAAUGCUUUGACCAAGCCACCACUCUCUUGCCAUUGCCCCUCCUCCCAGCGAGGGAUCUCUCAACUCCCUUGCAGCACCUCUCGCCACGCCCUCCUCCCAGCGUGCUCCUCUUGCCGCAACAGCAACUGCGGCAGCGAAGCACAGCAGCAGCGGCGGCGGCGAAGCACAGCAGCAGCGGCGGCGGCGAAGCACAGCAGCAGCGGCGGCGGCGAAGGCACAACAGUAGCAGCAGCAGAACGGCGGCGGGAGGGUGCUCCAGAUCCACGCUGCCUUAAGGAGGAGGAGGGUGCUGCUUCGACCGGUGGAUUAAUCGAACCCCUCAGGUGUCCCAGCCGUGUCCUCCCUUUUUUUUUUUUUUUUUAAUUCGUAAUUCAGGAAAUAUGGCGGGAUAUGCGUAUCCCAGCGUGUCCGAGCGUAUCACCGUGUCCGGCCGUAUCAGCACAGGGAUUCGGCAACUUCUGCCGUGUCCAUGCUUUGUAGGUUAAUGUUAUGGCUUGAUUGAGUUUGUUAGUUCCAUCCAGAUUGUGCUUUGCAGGUAUUAUGCAAAAGUUGCGUUUUUAUUAUGAUAAAACUUAGUAUUUUUUGUUGUGAAUAACAUAUGUAAGUGUGAUGUUGGAUCAUUAAAUUUUUAUAGAGGUAGUACGUGAUCUUCCAGGUUAAUUAUUAGCAAGUAUACAUUCAUUGUUCUUUACAAAAAGAAACUAAUGCUAAAACUGAUUUGGGAACAUUCAGAGAAAAAAAAUGGCGAUCAAAACCUAGCGACUUCAUUUUAAUUAACUAGGCCAAAACAGGUUCAUGGAAACUUUUAAGUUUUGAUUGUUUCAAAAUUAAUACAUAAAAGAAGAUGUUAUACCUGUGCCAUUUAAGAGUGCUUACGGACUGAACCAAACAAGGAUUAUGUGGUUCGGUGUCAGAGAAAUAUCAUUGCAUGUACAUCCGCACAUUAUAUUACAUCAGAUCAGCUCAUCUUUCAGUACAUAUCAUUAUAUUAAAAAUGUUAUAUUUCUAUGAGAGAUUUGAGCAGCAGUUUGCUUGCCAUUAUAAGGAUUCUAAUUCCCCAUGAUAAGGUCGAUGAAAGGAACUGGAUGGAGAUUAAAGGUUACAUCAGAUAUUAAUCAUUCUCAGUCAUUUGUAUUUUCACACAAAUCACUCAUGCUUUCCAGAUAUUGUUGAAUAGUUCUUUUUGCUGAGUACUCAUUUUGUUGCUUCCACAUGCAACUUCUAGGUUUGUUUGCUGUGCACCUAUAGAUGUUGUGUUGUUGCAGGUUACCUUGCUGUAAUAAUAUGGUGACUAUUCACUGAACAGAAAAAUGAGGUUCAUGGUGUUCAAUAUUGUUUGGUGUGCCUGGCUUAUUAUAAGAUUAUUUCUACUAAACAAACUCCAAUAGUGCAACACUUUGAAUAAAGGAACGUCAUGUUCACUCAUGUUCCAUUCCAAAUUUGAAUAACGGAACGUCAUGUUCUUUAUAUUUUGUUGGUCCCAGCUCAAACCAGAAAAACGCUGAGGUGGUCCUUUUCCAUGUGCUUGUGCUUUGAUAUUCCUUUUUAACUGUGAAGUGUUUCUUUUUGAAGAAUCAGUUGGAGUGUACUAUCACUAUAACACUUGGUUAUGUUAAUGCAAAAUCCUUCAAUGUGAUGAUGCGUAUGUCCAUGAGCGGGGAACAAUUAUUUCGGUAUGAGUGUGACCCUGCUUGUAGAGUAAAAGGUCAUAGUGGCAAUGCCGCUUGGACUGCUUUUGGACUUCCAUGGUGACACCAGACAGUUCCAAGGCCAACCUGAGCUCCUCCUUGGGUGAUGUAAACUGGGGUGCUCUACUCAUGCAUCACAAAUUGGCCACAAGGUGCGUGGAAAACCUCAAAACUCAUAGUCUCUUCGGAAUACCUGUGGAAAACCUCAACCUCGAGAUAGCCCAAAGUAUCCUUGGAAUCCUGGUGCACAAGAUGUUCGAGAAAGGACAUGACCGAAUGAGUGUAGUUACGAGUAAAACCAAUCCUCGAGUUCCCUCGCGGUGUCACCGAGUUGGGCAAUAAUGUUAUAACGGUUGAAUUUUGGAGGAUGCCUAUAUAUACCGCUCCACCUACCUCUUAUUCAUAGAGGAAGCACUCAGA